GUAGGCAGCAAGCGUUGUUCGGAAUUACUGGGCGUAAAGAGUGUGUAGGCGGUGUUCUAAGUUUGUCGUGAAAUCUCCCGGCUUAACUGGGAGGGUGCGGCGAAAACUGGAAUGCUAGAGGAUGGGAGAGGUAAGCGGAAUUCCUGGUGUAGCGGUGAAAUGCGUAGAUAUCAGGAGGAACACCUGUGGUGUAGACAGCUUACUGGACCAUUUCUGACGCUGAGACACGAAAGCGUGGGUAGCAAACAGGAUUAGAUACCCUGGUAGUCCACGCCCUAAACGAUGCAUACUUGGUGUGAGCGAUUCAUUUCGUUCGUGCCGGAGCUAACGCGUUAAGUAUGCCGCCUGGGGAGUACGGUCGCAAGGCUG
rnacentral:rRNA from 1 species